AUUGAACGCUGGCGGCAGGCUUAACACAUGCAAGUCGAGCGAGCGGCGGACGGGUGAGUAAUGUCUGGGAAACUGCCCGAUAGAGGGGGAUAACUAAUGGAAACGGUGGCUAAUACCGCAUACUAUCAGAUGAGCCCAUAUGGGAUUAGCUAGUAGGUGGGGUAAAGGCUCACCUAGGCGACGAUCUCUAGCUGGUCUGAGAGGAUGACCAGCCACACGGGGACUGAGACACGGCCCAGACUCCUACGGGAGGCAGCAGUGGGGAAUAUUGCACAAUGGGCGCAAGCCUGAUGCAGCCAUGCCGCGUGUAUGAAGAAGGCCUUAGGGUUGUAAAGCACUUUCAGCGAGGAGGCGUUACUCGCAGAAGAAGCACCGGCUAACUCCGUGCCAGCAGCCGCGGUAAUAC
rnacentral:rRNA from 1 species